ACAUGUUUGUAGCAUAGCAUUAAUGCACCAGAUCCCAUUAGAACUUCGUAGUUAAGCGCGCUCGGGCUAGAUUAGUAUUGGGAUGGGUGACCGCCUGAGAAGUCCUAGUGUCUUACAUGCA
rnacentral:rRNA from 1 species